rnacentral:lncRNA from 1 species
AGUUGAGAAAAGUGUUGGUAACGCAACAGCGUAAAAGUGUAGUGUUCUUUUCUACAUUUUUCAUGUGCUGUGCGACGAAACAAAUCCUGUUGUGCAUGCUACAAACAGUUGUAUAUUGCAUUUAAAAACAAAUAUUUGUGCAUUUCGACCUCUCUGCCUCAAUGGCCAUUUGCAUUUUCCGCGUAUGUCCGUCGUUUUAGUUGUAAAUGUCCAAAGAGAAGGUCAGAAAAAUGUACACAGUUCUGUGUGGUAGCAGCAGUGCAUAGAUUGUAGGCAUACCUGCGCUCCCAAGUGUAAGUGUGUGCGUGUGCGCAUAAUGUUAUACAGCUGUCACCGCCUGUCGUGUGUAUCAGUGAAUAACAAAUGUGAUAAACAAAAAAGUGCAUUGUAAGCAUUGAUAAUGCACUCACAUGCCCGACCCAAUCAUAUAUAUGACAACAUACAUAUGUAUACAUACUAAUGAAAAAAAGGCGCAUUCCUUUUCAAUUGCAAAAAAAACCUGUGUGGCAAAAUGACGUGUUUUGCGCUGGUGUUGCCACUGACAACAGCAACAGGGUUGCCAACUCGCGUACGCAACAAAUCGCAAGCUAUAACUACCAGCAGCGAAUAAUCAGACAACUGACUAACUUUAUUGAAUAUAACGCAUAAAAAAGCAAUUAAAUAAUAUACGCCUGCAGCCCCGGGACGGUACUCUUCGUCAGUAGAAUUCAUCGAAAAAAACGCUACCGCUGCACUGGCAACGCCACUUGGCAUUCAGUAGCUUGACAACACUAGUUGGCUUGUAUGGCAAAAAAAAAGAGAAUAAGUUUUUUACGAAUUGUGAAGUAAAGCUACUGACGAAGACGAGGCUGCCUUAAAUGGCAAGCAGAUGAAUUAUCAAGCCAAGUAAUUAACGAUGCAAGUUUCCCAUCCCAUUCUUUUUCUGUGCAGUGUGUUAGUUCUACGCACCAGCAGUUUUGCUGACACCCGAUAAACCCAAUCAAACAACAACAGCAGGAGGUACCAGCUCAACCGACACUCUGCAACAUUUUGUUGCAGCACCAGUGCAAUUGUCGCACACUCGGCUGGCCUGGCCGCAUUGCUCACAUUACACACAGAAUAACUAAUAAAUGUAUUGUGAAGUCUGCGAAAAAUAGGAUAAUUCGGCGCCGUUCGCUGUGGAACGAGUGUUUCGGUUUAUAUAUUUUUUUUGUGUGUGGCUUGACAAGUGCAGAACAGCGGGAGGAGCAGAAGUUAAUACGCAAUAGAAGCGCCCCUAAACUAUAUUAUUAGUAAUCGACAAUAACUAACGGAAGGCCAUCAUCGGGAAUAGCAGCGGCAGCAUCGUUAACUAGCAGACGCGGUGGCGUCCGCAAGGCGGCUGGCCCAGCUGUGUGUGUGCUUCCUAGGAAAAGCCAGAGCCAA